AGUGAACGCUGGCGGUAGGCCUAACACAUGCAAGUCGAACGGCAGCACAGUAAGAGCUUGCUCUUACGGGUGGCGAGUGGCGGACGGGUGAGGAAUACAUCGGAAUCUACUUUUUCGUGGGGGAUAACGUAGGGAAACUUACGCUAAUACCGCAUACGACCUACGGGUGAAAGCAGGGGAUCUUCGGACCUUGCGCGAUUGAAUGAGCCGAUGUCGGAUUAGCUAGUUGGCGGGGUAAAGGCCCACCAAGGCGACGAUACGUAGCUGGUCUGAGAGGAUGAUCAGCCACACUGGAACUGAGACACGGUCCAGACUCCUACGGGAGGCAGCAGUGGGGAAUAUUGGGCAAUGGGCGCAAGCCUGACCCAGCCAUACCGCGUGGGUGAAGAAGGCCUUCGGGUUGUAAAGCCCUUUUGUUGGGAAAGAAAAGCAGCAGGCUAAUACCCCGCUGUUCUGACGGUACCCAAUGAAUAAGCACCGGCUAACUUCGUG
rnacentral:rRNA from 1 species